AUAUCUAAAACUUAUACAUAUCACCACGAGCGAUAAAAUCGCAAAGAAGUGAUGGUUAGUGACGAGUUGACGACUGACCUUUUCUCGCCACCGGCGUGGUGGCGUAGUACUCCUUUGGAGCGUCAUAACUAUAAGUGAAAGCCCAACUCAAGUAAAAAAACAAGCCCAACUUAUUGACAAAGUAGAGAGACCCAAUUUAACUUUGAAACCCAAAUCCUUGCUUACACACAACUCUUCAAUAGUCUUCUCCUACACUUUUGGAGCAAGACAAAAAUGUAAAGACACAUGCAAUUAUGCGUCUAGUUUCCUGUAAAACAAAAGCAAGAAAGAAAGCUCACCUGACAGCUCAGCCUAUCCUCAUCCGUAACGAUUAUGCGCCGCUGAAUCAAUCUGUAGCCUGUGACCUGUGUGUAAACCCCUAGGAUGAGCUCAUUAUAAAAGCAAAAUGUAUGAUGUAUUGAACAAGUUAAGCAAGCAAUAACAAGAAAAUAUACUUUCCUUCUAUGUUUCUUAGUUCUUUCAGGAAUCAUUGUUGGAAUCUGGACUGCUCGACGGCUUGCUUGUUUCUUGUCCGAAAUUAUUUUUCUCUCCGAUGUGCAAAGAAGAGAGAUUAUGAGAAUCAAUCGAGAUACCAAACAAACCCUCACUAGUCAUUUGCUUUACACGCUGAUUAUGCAGG
rnacentral:lncRNA from 1 species